rnacentral:tRNA from 1 species
UCCCUGGUAGCUCAGAGGGUAAAGUAUCUGCCUGCAAUGCAGGAGACCCAGGUUCAAUCCCUGGGUUGGGUA